rnacentral:lncRNA from 1 species
AUGUAUAUUCUGCAGUUAUUGGGUAGAAUGUUCUGUAAAUAUCUGUUAAGUCCAUUUGUUGUAGGGUAUAGUUUAAGUUCAUUGUUUCUUUUUUUUUUUUUGAGACAGAGUCUUGCUCUGUCAUCCAGGCUGGAGUGCAAUGGUGUGAUCUCGGCUCACUGCAACCUUCAUCCACUGCAACCUUCGCCUCCCGGAUUCAAGCAAUUCUCCUGCCUCAGCCUCCUGAGUAGCUGGGAUUACAGGUGCCGGCCACCAUGCCCAGCUAAUUUUUUUAUCUUUAGUAGAGAUGGAGUUUCACCAUGUUGGUCAGGCUGGUCUCAAACUCCUGACCUCGUGAUCCCCCACCUUGGCCUCCCAAAGUGCUGGGAUUACAGGCGAGUUCAUUGUUUCUUUGUGCCACUGUGCCCGCUGAAAGAAAGUCUCAAGAACCACAGAUGUCUUGGAUAUUUCUGUAUUUCAGACUUUACUACCCAGACACCAAAAGAAGAAAUGAUUAACCCUGGAGGCUGCCUCGGUCUAGCAAAACCUGACUUGGCUGCUGGAUUUCUUCAGUUCUGCUUAUAACCAACCAACCAAUGAGUGAAAGGCCAAUAUCUCUUUCCUGCAGACACACCUGUAUCAGUUGGCUAUUGACAGGUAAUAACUCCAACCUUUGGUUAAAUAAAUAAAUAAUUAAGUCACAAUUCUUCAGGUGGGCAAUAUUGAAUAAAUGCAGCUAGGCCCUUCUUCUGAUAUUAGUUAAGCUCCUUCAUGCGUCUGUGAUCAGCUAUCAGUGGACUAAAAGGUUUGGCUGAUCUUGUCUGAGACUUUCCACAUGUCUUACUGGAACUACUGUACUAGUUCAGCUCUGUUGUGUGUGUCUCAUUCUCCAGCAGACUAGCUUGAAGUAAUUCACAUGGCAUCGGCAAGGGUUUAAGUGAGACCUGACACAAUGGCAUUCCAUCAGAUUCUACUGGCCAAGACGAGUCACAAGCCCAGCCAAGAUUCAAGGGCUGGAGAGUAAGUUUCACCACUUGAUGGAAGCUGCUAAGUCACAUUGCAAAGGGCAUAGAUUAAGGGACCAGGGGAGGUCAAUUGGUACAUUUUUGCAAAAACUCAAACAUAUCCUUAAUUUCUACUGGAGUUUCUUUGAACAAUCCUUACUUAGUUUUUGUGGGGUAAACAUAAUGAGAAGAGGAAAAAUGUCAUGUUGUUCUCCUUAAUGGACAAAUCCGUGGCCUAAUGCAAUCUAUUUGCAUUUCUAGUGUUCUAUUUCUUUGACCCAAGGGAGAGAUUAGGUGAUAUCAGCAAGAUGUUCUGUACGUUUUUGUAACGUCUGCAGCUUUAAAUUUGUUUUCAUCUUUGAAUUCCACAAAUGUGUACUGAGUGUCUAUUAUGCCCCCAGAUACUCUUCUACGUAGUUGGAUUAUAUGAGUGAAUAAAACUAUCAACUACCUGCCCACGUGGAGACAACAUUCUAGUGGCGGAGAAAGGUAAUGUAUGAUAGAUACAAUAAACAAUUAUGUUUUGUUUAAAGGUGAUAAAUGUGGAAAAAGAAAAAAAAAACUAGAGCAGAGAAAGAGGCAUUGGGGUGAUGAGACAAAAGAGGGCUGGCUUAGGCUUCCCUGAGAAGGUAAUCUUUAUCUGAGAUUGGAGGUGAGAGAGUGAGUCAUGGAGAUACCUGGCCACCUGGAGUGUUCUAGGGUAACAGAAGGCCAGGAGGCAGGAGAUCACAUGACAUGUUUGGGGCACAAGAAGAAAGCUGGUGUGGCUGAGGUGCAGUGAGCAAGGAAAAGAGUUCCAGGAAAUAAAGUCAGGAACAAGAAUAAGAAAACAGGUUAGAUUCUGCUUUUAUAAAUAAAGUUGUAUCAGAAAACACCCAUAUUCAUUUGUUUAUGUAUUGUCUAUAGCCAAUUUCACACCUCAGUUGUCUAACUGAGUAGCUGUGAUAGAUCAUAAUGGCUCACAAGGCCUAAAACACGUACUCUUUGAUCCUAUACAGAAAAACGCUUGCCAACCUCUGAAAUAGGAUCUUCUAAGUUAUUGAAGACUUUUCUCUUUUAUUCUAAUGGAAGUGGAGGAAUUCCAUCAUAUGACAGACUUCAUUAAAAAUCACACUGAUUUCUGGUGAGAAGGGGCUCUAGAGAAGUAAGGGGACAUGUCUAAGAGGGGCCAGUUAAGAACCACUGUGACAAUCUAGGCAGAGGGCAGUGAUUUGGAUCAGAGUGAACGCAGUGAGGUGGUGAAGACGAGUCAGAAUCUGGUUAUAUUUGGAAAAUAGAAUAGUCUACAGGUUCUUUUGUUACAGGAGGAGCCCCACUCAACCGCCAGAAGAAUAAAGGAACACACAUUUGAAUUUGACAUUAGGACAGCUACCGGGACCCAGGAGAAAGGACUCACCUAAGCUCUCUUGAACUCUUCAGAGCCAGAGGAUCAGUCUCAUGAUGUUUGGCUGAAUGGUCCAUCAGCCUAAUAGUCCCUGUGUGUGUUCCUGACCCUUUCUCUAUUCUCACACCUCUUUUUGCCUCUGCUGCAGAGGACCAGUGGCUGUCCUUUCUAAAUAGCUGUUUGUCCUUUUUAUAAAAUUUAUAUUACUCUAAGUUCUGGAAUACAUGUGCAGAAUGUGCAGGUUUGUUACAUAGGUAUACAUGUGCCAUGGUGGUUUACUGCACCUAUCAACUCGUCAUCUAGGUUUUAAGCCCCACAUGCAUUUGGUAUUUGUCCUAAUGCUCUCCCUCUUCUUGCCCCCCAGCCCUGACAGGGCCUGGUGUGUGAUAUUCCCCUCCCUGUGUCCAUGUGUUCUCACUACUCAGCUCCCACUUAUGAGUGAGAACAUGCAGUGGUUGGUUUUCUGUUCCUGUGUUAGUUUGCUGAGAAUGAUGUUUUCCAGCUUCAUCCAUGUCCCUGCAAAGGACAUGAACUCAUUCUUUUUCAUGGUUGCAUAGUAUUCUGUGGUGUAUAUGUGCCACGUUUUCUUUAUCCAGUCUAUCAUUGAUGGGCAUUUGGGUUGGUUCCAAGUCUUUGCUACUGUAAACAGUGGUGUAAUAAACAUAUGUGUGCAUAAGUCUUUUUUAAAAAAAUCAAGCUCAGUGUUCUGUGUUUCAUUAACUCAAGGCCUUGCUGUCUGCCUAUAGAAUUUCACUACAAGGAGCAAACGUGCCUUUGUGACCGGGUCCCUGACUGCAAGUCCCAGUUCUAUGACCUCGGCUAAGCUAUUUAAACUCUGUGUACCUCAGUAUUUUAACCAAUAAAGCAGAGGCCUAAUUGUAUCUGCUCUGUCGUGAGAAUUAAAUGUGAUCAUUUCUAUUCAGUGAUGUUCUAGUAAUUAGUUACUGGCACGUAGUAGGCUUUGAGUAAAUAUAAAUUCAUGGAUGAUUUUUCUUUGGGUUAUUUUUCUUUUGCAAGGGAGGGAUCCUCUGAUUUGUAUGGGGAGAGUGUUUUUUGUUUUUUUUAUAGCCACCCUGGAGUCAGAAUGUCCUCAGUUCACCCUGGCUGGUGGAUUAUUGCUUGCAAAUUUGAAACUUUUACAGAUUUGCUGUGAGGAAGGAUCAAGUAAUAUCACAGGCCAGGCUGGGCUACUGCGGGGAGGACAUCGUGGUGCAGGUUAUUCAUGAAGUGCUGCAUAAUCAGGGCCUGCAGACAGAGAUACCAGGCUCUGGGAGCUGGUUCAAUUGAAGAGCUGUGCAGUGAGACCAGCCCUGCUUAGAGAGCUGGAGGAUAGAAUCUGUUCCCGGAAGUAGGGGAUUCUUGAGAUCAUUGGUCACCUAUUGAGGGGUUGGGAUAGGAGGUUGUUUGCAGUUGGAGAGGCAGUGGGAGAAGUAGCAGCAGGAAAUGGCAAGUUUUUAAUAGAAGGAAGAAUAACAUACCUAGCUCUUUGAAUUUGAAAAUGAGAUCUAUUCCAGGCUUUCUGAUGAUGCAGUCUAGAUAGUAAAACCCAACGAGGUUGUGAACAAAAUUAUGUGGCCCUGCAUUUCCCUUGUCUCUUUUGAGAAGCUCUGAAGGUGUGAAAAAAUCAGUAGAGUGUGACUUUAAUUUUUAUAACUUCAGCACUGUAUUUCUUUCCUAUUUUCAAGGCAGUGCAUCCUCAAAGAAAAUUCAACAUCAAAAAAUUUUAAAAAACAUUUUCUGUCACCCAACACAUAUGUCUCCACUGUUAAUGUUUCCAUGUUUUUGUUUCAGUUUACUUAACAUGCAUAAUCUGUAGACCCCAACUUUGUAAAUCAAGGUUCUUGGGGUUUUCCACAAUCACUUUUCUGCCAAGAGUCACAUAUUUCACAGAUGUCUCCUCAGGACAAAUUUAGCCACCUGUUCAAGUGUCAUUGAACUUUUAUAUGUCACUGGAAAAUGACUUGCCUUUUUCAAAGAAAUAAAGUCAUUUUUACUUUUCAAAAGUCACUUCCUUGCACAAUACAUUGACAACAGCAAAACUUUGUGAUAUCAAAUCAG